rnacentral:rRNA from 1 species
AUUGAACGCUGGCGGCAGGCUUAACACAUGCAAGUCGAGCGGGGAUAGGGUGCUUGCACCUGAUUCCUAGCGGCGGACGGGUGAGUAAUGCUUAGGAAUCUGCCUAUUAGUGGGGGACAACAUUCCGAGAGGGAUGCUAAUACCGCAUACGCCCUACGGGGGAAAGCAGGGGAUCUUCGGACAUUGCGCUAAUAGAUGAGCCUAAGUCGGAUUAGCUAGUUGGUGGGGUAAAGGCCUACCAAGGCGACGAUCUGUAGCGGGUCUGAGAGGAUGAUCCGCCACACUGGGACUGAGACACGGCCCAGACUCCUACGGGAGGCAGCAGUGGGGAAUAUUGGACAAGGGGGGGAACCCUGAUCCAGCCAUGCCGCGUGUGUGAAGAAGGCCUUUUGGUUGUAAAGCACUUUAAGCGGGGAGGAGGCGCUCUAGGAUAAUACCCUAGAUGCGUGGACGUUACUCGCAGAAUAAGCACCGGCUAACUCUGUGCCAGCCGCCGCCGUAAAAC